rnacentral:lncRNA from 1 species
GCAGUAUUUCAAUGUGAACGGUUACACUCUGCCUGUCCUUGGACAAAGCAUGAUGGUGGACAUCUGGCCGAGCUCAACUCUUAUCCAGUCGAGGUGCAGAUCUCCGGGUGUCUGCCUCCCUUUGCCCUGCUCUGAAGAGGACACUUCCAGGAGGCGUUGUCUCUCUGCACACUGUCAAAACCGCCCGGGUACUUGUGGAUUUGCUGUGCAAAACAGGUCAUGUGUCUGUUUACAUAACGUUUCUGACCACGCCUGUGAUAUAUGCAUCUCUACAACAGAGAGCCGUUAUCAAUGCGCUGAGGCUCAGGGCAGUGUGCCUCUGUGGCUUAUAGCUGUGAUUCUUCCUCUAAUCUCCAUCCUGGUGAUUAUAGGAAUGUGUGUUGCCCUUCACAAAGUGAGGCGACAGAAAGCAGAGUGUCAGAAUGAUAGCUUGCCACAGAAAACAGAGCAAGGGACAGACAAUGUAGCGUUUUGUUUUGAUGACAACAGAAUGCUCACAGGUGCUGCGUCUGCAGAAAAUGAGAAACAAAACCCUCCAAUGAGUGCUGAUCAGCAGAGGUUAGGUGUGGAGUUUUACGGUGAUGCCAGUCCGUCAAGUGUUCAGCCGGUGUCCAACAGUGAGCUGGAGUAUUAUGAAAUCGGCAGCAUCUCUAGUGCACUUCAUUCAGACACUGCCUCACUGAACCUCAGCCAGCCUAAGCAUCUGUACAGCACAAAGUGUGUGAAAGCUGAUCCUAAACGGUGGGGAGAUUUGAGGAUGUUGUUAGCAGAAUUUAAGAAAGAACGCUCCAGUGAAGAGAGGGCAAAAAGUCAGAAGAAGCCUAAAGAUAUGACUUUCCUAAACAAGCAGUUGUUGACUAUUAUUGAUGUAGAGCACUCCCAGCAUACCCCACCUUGUCCCAAGAACAGGUUGGUACAAUCAGAGUUACUGGAUCCUGUACGAUGCCUCACUUUUGAAGAAAUUAGUAAACUAGACACUCCUCGGGAGAAAACAGUGUCACAUCAAGCAUCCCUGAGAUCUGGAGCUGCACAGUCCACCACGAACAUCGGGGCUUCAUCUGACAGUGAAACAGACAGCACAUUCCCCUGCUCGGAGUCUGAGUGCGGACAGUUUGCGUGCAGCUUCAGACAACAAGGCAUCUUGUCUGUCAGCUCAUUCUUAAAACACACCUGUCCCUCUGAUGCAGGUCAGGAUAAAGCUGAGAGUGCUCCCUUCAGUAUGUUUGAGCAAUGGGAAAAUAUUUUAAAUAUGCAUCUACCUUUUAGCAGCUAUGCUCCUGUAUUUGAGGAUAUAGCAUGUUUUCCCACUGAACACAGUCAUAACUGUGAUAUGCAAAGUGACAUUGAAGAAAUUAUUUGAUGGCCAUUAUAUAUGUGUCACUUAGUAUAAAAUAGUAAACAUUUAUGCAGUCUUUAUUAUUAUUAUUAUUAUUAUUAUUAUUAAUAAUAAUAUGUACAGUAGCUGAUCGUCACCUGUGCUUUAUUUGAUUGAUGUCUUGUACAUUAUAAGAUGGCACUGUUUUAGAUAGCUAAAAUAGACUUUCCCAAAGACCAACAGAGUGGCUGUGUUAAAUUCACAUUUACAGGCUUGUAGAACUGUCAAAAUUCAAGUCAUGUAGUAAUGUAAAGUAAUGUGUCCUUGUGGAGUGUGAAUAGAGAAUUACAUGUGUGCUGAAGUUGGAACCUGUGAGGCCCUUCAAUACAAUUACUGAAUGCAUUGGUCUGAAAUUCAGAAUAUUAAAAUGAAACACUCUGUUACACCUUG